AGACGCGAGGGCAAAGGCCCAGGAGGACUGUGGGGCUCUCGGAAGUAUCCGAUCACCUUGCGAGGAGUCCGCCGGCUGUCCGAGCCUGAUGUCACUGCAACUUCGAUUCCUCCGACGCCCCUACUCUUACUUCCCAGUCUUCAGGCAACUUCUCCGCUUCGGCCUCCCCUAGGCCUUGGCCCCAGAGAGGGGACGCACUCCACAGGAACCCGAGCCCUGGGAAGGGACAUCAAGGCGCUCCCGAGACUCCGGAGACGGCCAACAGCCCCAAAAGAGAGUACUCGGCUAUCCAGCCGCCCUUAUCCAAGCGGAGAAUCUCUCUCCACCUCCGCCCUCCCGGGACUCAAAGUUGUUUGUGGAGCCUCCAGGUUUCCUUGUAGAUGGGCACGAUAUGCACUGUGUGCGCGCGCGCGCACACACACACACACACACACACACACACACACACACACGUAUAUGUAUUUUUCCAGUGGCCACUGCAGGAUUGCCAGCUUUCGGAAAUGAGCAUCCGCUCUCUCUCUCGGGACUGGGCGUGGGGUUCACCGAAAGGAGAGGAAGAGACCUUGCGUUUGCGCUGGGCCUGCUCGAUGCCAGGCCAUUCUAGGCUUCUGUCUAUCCUGGUUUCUGGUCUGUGCGUUGUGGGUAGCAGCAUUGGCGUAUUACGCCGGAGGGAGCAGGCUGAGCGAGGCUCCAGAAGGUGCGCAAUAGCCGGAGAGGAAAGGGCGAUGCUGUCACCUAGCCCCCUCCCUGAGACUCCAUUCAGCCCAGAAAAAGGAGCUGCUUUCUCCCCCAUCUACCCUAGGAGAAAAUAAACGGUCGCUGGCAUUUUCCUGCGUCUUUUAAUUUUGCCAGAACUGUUUUGGGUUGGCUAUUGUGGGCCAGGAUGGAGGCCUUCUCCUCCCGGGAGCAAACCUGCCCACGCCCAGGCCGGCAGUGGAGUCAGCCUUGCCCCAGCCUGCCCUCCAGGGAAACAAUGCCCCUUUGUCCCUCGCCCUCCCGGGGCUGAUACAGCCCCUCCCCUUAGCUUAGGGCUCCCUCCCGUUAGAGCAUUCCAAUGAUUGCCACAAGUCACACUUUUCUUUGAGGUCUCUGCCUGGGAAGAAAACAAAGCAGCCCUCCUAAUCACACGGAGGGAGUGGAACUUUUCCUGCCCUCUGACUAUGUGCCAGCCUUGGCUCCUCCCUGAAGCCCUGUCUAGAGGGCUUAUUAGGUCACUUAUGUUUUGUACCUCGUGUGAAGUCCCACAAUCAGUAGAUUAUAGAGGGGAGCACAAACCCAGCAGUGUCUGACAUAGAGAAAUUACACAUACAUACAUACACACAUACAUACAUACAUACACACACACACAUACACACAUACAUAUACAUACAUACAUACAUACAUACACACACAUACAUACACACAUACAUACACACAUACACAUACAUACAUACAUACAUAUAUACAUACAUAUAUAUAGUCUUUCCACCACCCAGGAUUGAAAAUUAAUGCUGUUUUUGACAUUGUCCGUUAUCCACCCAAACCCUCCAAAAAGGCUGGCUGGCAUUUGCUUGGCUCUAGUUCUACCUGCCCACCUUCUCCUUUGCCUAAUCCUGAGUUUUCCCCUUCCCCACGUGUGUUCCCCUUGAGCACUUUUUUGCUAACUUCCUGCAUGCUACUGUCAUCUCAGAGACUGAUUCCUGGGGAGCCCAACCUGUAACAUGGAGCUCAGUGGAAAGCACAUGGAAUGUGGACUGAGACAUGACUGUGUUCAAACCCUGGCUCUGUCGCUAAGUGGUUACUUGGUUUGGGGCAAGGCAUUUAAUCCCUCUAAAGUUCACUUUCAUCUGGGGGGAAAAGAUAACUGUGAGGAUUAAGUGAGUUUAUAUAUAGUGUAUGAGUGCCUGGACCACUGAAGCAGUGCAGCAGAUGUUAGCUCCUCCUUCAGUAAUAUUUAUUGAACAUGGCAUCCCAAGUGUUACUAGAAUUUAUAUUUCUACUUUAUAAAUUUUACUAGAAUUUAUGUUUUCAUAUUCUUGAUACUAAUACUGCAUUUUUGAAAGGGGUGACUCCUUCCUUAUUAAAGUUUUAGAACACUAUCCUAAGUGAAGUACAAUGGUUACUAAAUUAGAUGACAUCUGGAUCUGGCUGAUCUUGAACAAGCAGGUUAAUCAUAUAACUUAGCUAGGUCAUUGUGAAAUUUUCUCCUGUGUAGAAAGAGAUAUUAAUAGUAACUACUGUGGCAGAUGGCAUUUUCCAUAAAUGCCUACAAAAUACUUUCCAUCUCAGCUGCUCUUCAGAAAUGACCUUGCCAUUCCUCCAUCAACAGAUGAAAUCUAAUUCCCCUUCUUUUGCAUCUGGGCUGGCCUCAGGGACUUACUUGGGCAUUGGAAUGUGGCAAAAGUGAUGGUCUGGGACUUCCAAGGCUAGUUCAUACAAGCUAAGUCAUUCUGUGUGAGUCUUUUGGGAUGUUCCCUCUUCCAACCCAGCCACCAUACUGUGAGAAGCCUGAACACUUGGAAAGCCAUGUGUAGGUGCUCUGGCUAACAGUCCCAGCCAACAGCAAGCAUCAACUGCCCACCGAGUGAGCUCUCCUGACAUCCAGCACCUUUGGGCCUUCUGAAGACUGCAGCACCAGCCCACAUCUGGGACCCCAAAAAGAAUGGGAAUAAACUGAGCCCAGUUAGUAUACAAACCAAGACAGAUAAUAAUAAAUGGUUGUUUUAAGCCAUUAAGUUAUGGAGUGGUUUGUUAUGCAGCAAUAGAAACUAAAUCACUAGCUCCUAGGGUUAUGUGAAAUCAAGGAAGACAAUGCAUGCAAACUGAUUACUAAUGUGCUUCGUAAAUAAUUAAUACGGUUGCAGAAAAAAGUAAGCUGAUUAUAUGGGGAGAUAAAACAUGGGCACAAAUAACUGCAAAACUAAGCAGGCAUCAUCUGAAUCAAUAUUUAGUGGGCACCUAUCCCAUGCCAGACUGUCUACAUAAUCAUAGAAUCUCCAAGUAGAACAGAAUUUGGGAGCUAUUCUAGUUCAACCUCCCACUUAGUGAGGACAUUUCUUCUUGAAUGCUUGUUUAAUACAACUAUUAUUUAUUAAGCCUCGCUCCGCACCAGAAAGUGUGGUAGAUGGUAAUGUCAGGAAGUGGGAUAGAAAGAUAACUAAGACACAGCCCAGGGCCAGAGGCAAACACAUGAAGAGUUUCUGCUCAGUGUCAUAUGUGCAGGGAGAGAGGAUACGAAGAAGACAGAUGCAUUUCCCCUGCAUGGAAUGGGGUGAGUCAUCUCACUAUCGGCCAGCUCUGCUGAUUCAGCUUCCUGGUGCUCUGGAUUCUGCUGAUAUAUUUUCUGUGCAUCAACUUGUAUUCUGAGUGGCAGUUCUCCAGCUCUUUGCCUUCUUGCUCCAUAUACCUAAGUUGGCUGUUUACACAUCCACUUACCCAUCUUUGCUCAAAGCUGACCCUUGUCAAGGAAGGAGGGGUUUGCCUGGAUCUUGAACACCAGCCUGUGGGCUCUUUAAGGCCAAUGCCUGGAUCUUGUUCAUCAUUGAGGCCCCAGCUCCUAGAGGCACCAAAAUAAAACAAAACAAAAGAGAGAGAGAGAAGAAGAAGAAAACAGCCACCAAAAAAAUGCAUUUCUUUUUGUGUGGGUUCAGAAAAAUGCCAGAGAUUCAUUUAAUUCAAAUUUAUUUCACACAACUACAUCAGGGAAAAUUAGCAGUGUAAUCUGCUUUCUCAAGUUUCAUGAGCAACGCUAAGUUUUUAAUAGGCUGAGUGUUUAAUAGGCAAGUAAAAUCAGCCAACAAACAAACAAACAAAAAAACGCUGGAGUUCGAGUCCUUUACAGCCAAGUAGUUGGCAGCUGCUACGGUUAUUAGCUAUCAUAGUUUCCCACAUGCAGCCAUGUUUUAUGGCUUCUUAAAAUUGUUUUUAAAAAUGUUUCACAAACCAUGGGUUUCACACAAAUAUAAGGGUUAGAAUUUCAAUUUUAAAAAAUAAACAUAAGUUUGGUGUCACAUCAGAGAAAGCUCUAGUUUUCUCCUUUUAAGAAACAGAGGAGGUAACUCACCAGAGCAGAGGAGUCAUCUGAAUUGGGCCCUUUAUUCUCAGCCUAACCUGCUGAGGAGCGUCAUCUACAACUCACAAGGUACUGGGAGCAGGAGAAUUUGCAUGGAUAGACAAAAGUUUGCUUCAUUGCUCAGUUUCCCUUUAAUCAUUUCUCCUCUUUAUUCUCCUCUUUCUUAUUUGAAACUUAUUCCUUGUUUGUAUUAAUGUUUCUCUGCAGGGCUGUAACUGUAGUUUAUUACAAAACAGUAGAGUACAGGGCUCUUUCAUUUAGCAGCUUAGUAUAGUUUUUGUUGCAACAGUGUAUUCAUAUCAUGGGGUGGGGGGUAGAAUCUAUUUAAUCAACUCUGGGGACAGUACAGGCCCCUAUACAAAAUCACCAAAACUUCCCUAUGGAGAAAAAGAUGGGAAAUUAGAAGAAAAAAUAAAGCUUGAGGGGGAAAAGGGUAGAGCUUUUCAUUUGGAAAAAGAGGAGGAAUGGGGAGUUGAGAAUCAGUGUGUACUCUUGGGUCACUGGGUGCAACCUAAGAGGCUGGGGUGAAUCCAGAAGCUGCUGGACCCCUGGGACCUGGGGGCAAAUUGCAAUGGUUGGUGGGUGAACUUCUGGGCCUGGAUAUGAAAAUCAGCAAUGAAAGGCAAACACUAGAAAUUGGUAGUAGACCCCGGAAGUUGGUGGUGGAUUCCUGGUGCCAGGAUUAGAACCAGAGAGCUGCAGACACAACAGAGUAAGAGUAGCUCAGGGCUCUGAGGGUGUAGGACCACAUGUGAGGGUGGCGGCAAAAAUGUAAGGCAGUGAUGGCCAAGGAGGAAAACUAUUUCUCAGUAGGAGUGGAGCCUCUUCAUGCCAGGAGGUCUGGUGGUGGUGCCACCCUCUUGAAGUGGAAGUGGAGAGAAACUGUUCCAGUGUGUUUGAAACUUGCCUGGUCAGCUUCUCUGCUCAACACCCUGAAGGUGAUGGUCUUGUGAGACUCAUUGCAUGUCAACGGUACUUUUGGCACCUGUCCAGGAACUUUUAAUACUGUCUCUAAGCAGAAAUGAAGCAAUGGCAGGGCAUGAUGCCCCUGUCAACCUCUAAACAGUCAAUCUGGAAGAGGAGGAGGCUCUGCCAUUCGCCUCCAAAUUUCUCUGCUUAGUCAUUUUAUAGCCCAAAGAGAUUCUUCUUCAUCUCCAUCUUGUCCGGCAUUGGCUGGGAUGUAUUCCUUUUGGCUUAUCUUUGACCAAUUUUGUUUGCUUUUUUCCUUGAGUAUGUGUUACGUAACUCACCUUCUUGCUAUAAACUUGCAUUUUUUGAACCCAAGUUAUUGCUCAUAAAAUGUGGGAUCUUGUUGAUGUCAGUGGUCUUUACAGCCAACUGCCAGAGAUGCUGUCUGAGCUGCUGAUUGCUGUCUAAGGAAGAGAACACUCCCCAGUUCUGGUCUUGCCUCUACCCGCUUAUUAAUGCUAGAAGUACAAAUUAAG
rnacentral:lncRNA from 10 species